GUGCUUGCUUUGGCAGCACAUGUACUAAAGUUGGAAUGAUACAGAGAAGAUUAGCAUGGCCCCUACGCAAGGAUGACACACAAAUCCGUGAAGCAUUCCAUAUUUUU
ensembl:snRNA U6 U6 spliceosomal RNA